rnacentral:rRNA from 1 species
UACAGAGGGUGCGAGCGUUGUCCGGAAUCACUGGGCGUAAAGGGUGCGUAGGCGGAUCGUUAAGUGCCUUGUGAAAUCCCACGGCUCAACCGUGGAACUGCUGGGCAUACUGGACAUCUCGAGGCACUCAGGGGCGAGCGGAACAAGUGGUGGAGCGGUGAAAUGCGUAGAUAUCGAGAGGAACACCUGCGGCGAAGGCGGGUAGCUGGGCCGACACUGACGCUGAUGCGCGAAAGCCAGGGGAGCGAACGGG